rnacentral:tRNA from 1 species
UCCUGGUGGCUCAGACGGUAAAGCGUCUGCCUGCAAUGUAGGAGACUGGGGUUCAAUUCCUGAGUCAGGAA